GGAGAGAUGGCCGAGAGGUCGAAGGCAAUUGACUCGAAAUCAAUCGUAGGGGAAACUCUACCGGGGGUUCGAAUCCCCCUCUCUCCG
rnacentral:tRNA from 1 species